rnacentral:rRNA from 1 species
AUGAACGCUAGCUACAGGCUUAACACAUGCAAGUCGAGGGGCAGCAUGGUCUUAGCUUGCUAAGGCCGAUGGCGACCGGCGCACGGGUGAGUAACACGUAUCCAACCUGCCGUCUACUCUUGGACAGCCUUCUGAAAGGAAGAUUAAUACAAGAUGGCAUCAUGAGUCCGCAUGUUCACAUGAUUAAAGGUAUUCCGGUAGACGAUGGGGAUGCGUUCCAUUAGAUAGUAGGCGGGGUAACGGCCCACCUAGUCUUCGAUGGAUAGGGGUUCUGAGAGGAAGGACCCCCACAUUGGAACUGAGACACGGUCCAAACUCCUACGGGAGGCAGCAGUGAGGAAUAUUGGUCAAUGGGCGAGAGCCUGAACCAGCCAAGUAGCGUGAAGGAUGACUGCCCUAUGGGUUGUAAACUUCUUUUAUAAAGGAAUAAAGUCGGGUAUGGAUACCCGUUUGCAUGUACUUUAUGAAUAAGGAUCGGCUAACUCCGUGCCAGCAGCCGCGGUAAUACGGAGGAUCCGAGCGUUAUCCGGAUUUAUUGGGUUUAAAGGGAGCGUAGAUGGAUGUUUAAGUCAGUUGUGAAAGUUUGCGGCUCAACCGUAAAAUUGCAGUUGAUACUGGAUAUCUUGAGUGCAGUUGAGGCAGGCGGAAUUCGUGGUGUAGCGGUGAAAUGCUUAGAUUUCACGAAGAACUCCGAUUGCGAAGGCAGCCUGCUAAGCUGCAACUGACAUUGAGGCUCGAAAGUGUGGGUAUCAAACAGGAUUAGAUACCCUGGUAGUCCACACGGUAAACGAUGAAUACUCGCUGUUUGCGAUAUACUGCAAGCGGCCAAGCGAAAGCGUUAAGUAUUCCACCUGGGGAGUACGCCGGCAACGGUGAAACUCAAAGGAAUUGACGGGGGCCCGCACAAGCGGAGGAACAUGUGGUUUAAUUCGAUGAUACGCGAGGAACCUUACCCGGGCUUAAAUUGCAGAUGAAUUACGGUGAAAGCCGUAAGCCGCAAGGCAUCUGUGAAGGUGCUGCAUGGUUGUCGUCAGCUCGUGCCGUGAGGUGUCGGCUUAAGUGCCAUAACGAGCGCAACCCUUGUUGUCAGUUACUAACAGGUUCUGCUGAGGACUCUGACAAGACUGCCAUCGUAAGAUGUGAGGAAGGUGGGGAUGACGUCAAAUCAGCACGGCCCUUACGUCCGGGGCUACACACGUGUUACAAUGGGGGGUACAGAGGGCCGCUACCACGCGAGUGGAUGCCAAUCCCAAAAACCUCUCUCAGUUCGGACUGGAGUCUGCAACCCGACUCCACGAAGCUGGAUUCGCUAGUAAUCGCGCAUCAGCCACGGCGCGGUGAAUACGUUCCCGGGCCUUGUACACACCGCCCGUCAAGCCAUGGGAGCCGGGGGUACCUGAAGUGCGUAACCGCGAGGAGCGCCCUAGGGUAAAACUGGUGACUGGGGCU